rfam:Rattus norvegicus chromosome 1, whole genome shotgun sequence.
GGGGAUUUAGCUCAGUGGUAGAGCGCUUGUCUAGCAAGCACAAGGCCCUGGGUUCAGUCCUCA